UGUCCUAGCGGUGGCGCGCGCGCGCGAGCUCGCGCGUGCGUGCGUGUGCGUCUCUGUGCGUGCACGCGACUUCUGCCGGCCGCUGUAACGUGUGCGUUACACCGUGACGUCGCAGGCUUGGAUACGGGUCAGAGACAGUAGGCUUCGCCAGGUUUUCUUCGGCCGAUCUCCGCGCGGAGUUAAACGAUUUUUCUCAUGAUCGCGACAUUGGGGCGGUGUGUUCGCAGUACAAGAUUGACUUGUUCCUAGACCGUAGAACGAGCCGCGGCGGGUGACGUCAUCAACAUUCGGCAAGACGCUCCUGUGAUUUUCUCUAGCUUCGCUUCGUUCUUGAUAUAUCCAUGCAUGUUCGUCUUUCUGCACGAGUUUCGGCGAGAUUACCGGCAAAUUCGAGAUCCCGAGAUCGGGAUUCGAGAGGUUCCAGGACAGGAAGGUGCUCGGACGAACAAAAAUACGUGGGAGAUAUUGGAUACGUCGAUUGUGGGAUAUCCUGUUGGCAGUGUACAAAAAUGUUUAACGCUCGGACGAGCAACUACGACUAAGGUCGUGGGGUUCAAGCACAGAAAUGUGUACAAAUCUGGAUCCGUGGCCAGCAUUGUUACUAGUUUCGUCGAGGAUUUGAAAACUCGCUGUUACUCGCGUUCUUGUUUAAUUAAUCGGCCGAUGAACUAUGAUCGGUAUUUUGGAAGCGGAUAGAUAUCAGGAUUACAGCAAUGUCUAAAUAAUUAAACAUAUAUAUAAACAGUAUUUUGCGUCGAAUUAAAAUAUAUGCUACCAUUUUCAAGUAAAAAGCAAAAAUACUGUAGGUGGACGAUUUCACCAGCAUCACUGGGUUAGAGCGACCACGAAAAAUAACCUUGACUAUAGCCUAAAAAAAGUAUUAUAAAUAAAGAAAGUAAUUCUUA